UAGAAACACUUUCCUGUGGGACUGUGUCAAAUGCUCUGCACAAGUCCAGGUAGAUGAUGUCAAUUGCUCUUCCCCUAUCCACCAAUGCUGUAACCCUGUUGUAGAACACCACCAGAUUAGUCAGGCACAAUCUGCUCUUA